UACAGAGGUCCCAAGCGUUGUUCGGAAUUACUGGGCGUAAAGGGCGCGUAGGCGGCCUGUUAAGUCGAACGUGAAAUCCCCGGGCUCAACCCGGGAACUGCGUCCGAUACUGGCAGGCUUGAAUCCGGGAGAGGGAUGCGGAAUUCCAGGUGUAGCGGUGAAAUGCGUAGAUAUCUGGAGGAACACCGGUGGCGAAGGCGGCAUCCUGGACCGGCAUUGACGCUGAGGCGCGAAAGCGUGGGGAGCAAACAGG
rnacentral:rRNA from 1 species